rnacentral:rRNA from 1 species
AUUGAACGCUGGCGGCAUGCCUUACACAUGCAAGUCGAACGGCAGCGGGGGAGAAGCUUGCUUUUCCUGCCGGCGAGUGGCGAACGGGUGAGUAAUACAUCGGAACGUGCCCUGUAGUGGGGGAUAACUAGUCGAAAGAUUAGCUAAUACCGCAUACGACCUGAGGGUGAAAGGGGGGGACCGCAAGGCCUCAUGCUCAAGGAGCGGCCGAUGUCUGAUUAGCUAGUUGGUGGGGUAAAGGCCUACCAAGGCGACGAUCAGUAGCUGGUCUGAGGGGACGAUCAGCCACACUGGGACUGAGACACGGCCCAGACUCCUACGGGAGGCAGCAGUGGGGAAUUUUGGACAAUGGGCGAAAGCCUGAUCCAGCAAUGCCGCGUGUGUGAAGAAGGCCUUCGGGUUGUAAAGCACUUUUGUCCGGAAAGAAAUGGCUCUGGUUAAUACCUGGGGUCGAUGACGGUACCGGAAGAAUAAGGACCGGCUAACUACGUGCCAGCAGCCGCCGUAA